AAAAAGACAAACCCUGGGUUUCCGUGUCCAACGUUUGAUUGUCCGUCUUAUAUGAAAUUUUUUUAUAAUUAGUAUUUUCAUUGUUGUUAGAUGAUAAAACAUGAUUAAUACUUUAUGCGUGACUUGUCUUUUAAAUUUUUUUCAUAAUUUUUUCAAAUAAGACGGACGGUCAAACGUUGGACACAGAAACCCAGGGUUUGCCUUUUU
rfam:Oryza glumipatula chromosome 11, whole genome shotgun sequence.